GUCUUCUUGCGUAACUGAUGACCUUGCCAAGGGACAUGCUUCUGGAAUCCCUCAUGAUACUGAUGGGAUGCUACUAUGUGUUCCAGUUAACAUAUUCCAAGUACUCAAAGAUUUUAUUCACGAGAGUGACAAGACGACAACAUAUAAAAAGGUGCUUGCUGACUGUCAAGCAUUCAUCCAAACCUAGUCUGUCUCUCCCUCUCUCUUUGUCAACCUCCUACUGUAUGUCACUCUUCUGUAUGUCACUCCCCCCCCCCAACUCUUUCUCUAUAUGUCUGGAGGUCAGGACAGCACACAGUAACACAACGUCCAAUGUAUUUCCAGCUACAUUUGUCAAUGAUUUGUUGACUGUUUGAUGAAUUCUGACUGUUUGAUGUGUUGCUGAAUUGUCAUCGUUUAUGUAGAUGUCAAUGUACCUUAUGUCUGACAGUUUACUUAAAUCAUUAUGUGUAAUAUGUAAUUAAGUACAUUUAAGCAUUCUGAUGCUUAUUAUUGUUCACUACUCUCAAAUGGCUGUUAUUGGUUUUCUUCAUUAACAGGCUAAUAAAACAGUGAUAAAUAA